GAUGAACGCUAGCGGCAGGCUUAAUACAUGCAAGUCGUGGGGCAGCAUGAAUGUAGCAAUACAUUUGAUGGCGACCGGCAAACGGGUGCGGAACACGUACACAACCUUCCUAUAAGUGGGGAAUAGCCCAGAGAAAUUUGGAUUAAUACCCCGUAACAUAACGAUGUGGCAUCACAUUGUUAUUAUAGCUUCGGCGCUUAUUGAUGGGUGUGCGGCUGAUUAGAUAGUUGGCGGGGUAACGGCCCACCAAGUCUACGAUCAGUAGCUGAUGUGAGGGCAUGAUCAGCAACACAGGCAAUGAGACAGGGGCCCGACUCCUACGGGAGGCAGCAGUACGGAAUAUUGGUCAAUGGACGCAAGUCUGAACCAGCCAUGCCGCGUGAAGGAUUAAGGUCCUCUGGAUUGUAAACUUCUUUUAUCUGGGACGAAAAAAGGCUUUUCUAAGUCACUUGACGUUACCAGAUGAAUAAGCACCGGCUAACUCCGUGCCAGCCGCCGCCGUAAAAC
rnacentral:rRNA from 1 species